rnacentral:misc_RNA from 1 species
UUACAAAAUUUCCGGGAGAACAGGUAAUAGGGCCAGUCUUUGUCAUGACUUCACCCGUGUCAUGAAUUUACCGUGGCACGCCUCCUGCGUUGCCACGCCCACCGAGGCCGGUGGCGGCACACCCGGGAACGUCAUUCAGUUGAUCCGUGACACUACGACCUGACUCCCGAGCGCAGACUGUGAUCUGACUCACGAUCGGGUUUCUGGGAUAAAUUUUCUCGGUUGGCGACCCCAACCGAUAUCCUCCUCUCCCUCGGCUUCUGUCACCGGCAGUCCUCAGAGUGCUCCUCUUUUCGUAGCAACUAAUCGACAAGGGCUGUUGCGGACUCUGACCCAACAUUAUCUCACGACACGAGCUGACGACAGCCAUGCCUCCUUGGUGUCGGGUAGGUAGGUUUUUUCGUUAAUCCACAUCACCCACAGCUUGUAAUCCCCUUUCCUUUGAUAAUCUUAGACGCAAUUCUGCGGCGGUUCAUUAUGCAAUUCAGUUAAAAAUAAUAGUGUCUUCGAAGAUUUAACAGUUGGUGCGUUGACACAGUUUAGGGCGGACUACCAGUAUCCUGUUUGCUUGUGGUGAGCGUCAGCAUCUUCCAGGAAGCGCCUUCGCCAUUUCUCCGCAUAUAUGGAAUUUCCGACAAUACUUCUAGCUCGGCAAAGUUAAAAAAUGCAGUUCCAGUUGGGCUUCUGGGAUUUCACAUUUGAAUCGCUCGCGCACGCUUUUUCUCGCCUGCAAUUCGACAGGUAUUGCUGGCACGGGCAGCCGGUGCGGUAGCCGUCAGUUGCACGGGAUAAUACCUCGUGCAACUGACGGUACCUGCAGAAUAAGCACCGGCUAACCACGUGCCAGCAGCCGCGGUAAUACGUAGGGUGCAAGCGUUAAUCGGAAUUACUGGGCGUAGCGUGCGCAGGCGGUUCGGAAAGAAAGAUGAAAUCCUGAGCUUAACUUUGGAACUUGCAUUUUUAACUACCGAGCUAGAGUGUGUCAGAGGAGGGAAUUCCGCGUGUAGCAGGGAAAUGCGUAGAUAUGCGGAGGAACACCGAUGGCGAAGGCAGCUCUCCUGGGAUAACACUGACGCUCAUGCACGAAAGCGUGGGGAGCAAACAGGAUUAGAUACCCUGGUAGUCCACGCCCUAAACGAUGUCAAUCCAGCUGUUGGGGCCUUGUGCUCCGGUAGCGCAGCUAACGCAGAAGUUGACCGCCUGGGGAGUACGGUCGCAAGAUUAAAACUCAAAGGAAUUGACGGGGACCCGCACAAGCGGUGGAUGAUGUGGAUUAAUUCGAUGCAACGCGAAAACCUUACCUACCCUGACAUGUCUGGAAUCCCGAAGAGAUUUGGGAGUGUCGCAAGAGAACCGGAACACAGGUGCUGCAUGGCUGUCGUCAGCUCGUGUCGUGAGAUGUUGGGUUAUCCCGCAACGAGCGCGCAACCCUUGUCAUUAGUUGCUACGAAAGGGCACUCUAAUGAGACUGCCGGUGACAACCGAGGAAGGUGGGGAUGACGUCAAGUCCUCAUGGCCCUUAUGGGUAGGGGCUUCACACGUCAUACAAUGGUCGGGACAGAGGGUCGCCAACCCGCGAGGGGGGAGCCAAUCCCAGAAACCCGAUCGUAGUCCGGAUCGCAGUCUGCAACUCGACUGCGCGAAGUCGGAAUCGUCAGUAAUCGCGGAUCAGCAUGUCGCGGUGAAUACGUUCCCGGGUCUUGUACACACCGCCCGUCACAAGCACCAUGGGAGUGGGUUUUACCAGAAGUAGUUAGCCUAACCGUAAGGGGAGGGCGAUUACCACGGUAGGAUUCAUGACUGGGGUGAAGUCGUAACAAGGUAG